GAGCGGGAAGAGCUCAAAUUUGAAAUCUGGUGGCCUCAGGUCAUCCGAGUUGUAAUCUAUAGAAGUGUUUUCCGUGCUGGCUCAUGUACAAGUCCCUUGGAACAGGGCGUCAUAGAGGGUGAGAAUCCCGUCCUUGACAUGAACUACCAGUGCUCUGUGAUACAUUUUCAACGAGUCGAGUUGUUUGGGAAUGCAGCUCAAAAUGGGUGGUAAAUUCCAUCUAAAGCUAAAUAUUGGCGAGAGACCGAUAGCGAACAAGUACCGUGAGGGAAAGAUGAAAAGCACUUUGGAAAGAGAGUUAAACAGUAUGUGAAAUUGUUAAAAGGGAAACGAUUGAAGUCAGUCGUGCUCUUUGGAUUCAGCCGGUUCUGCCGGUGUACUUCCUUUGAGUGGGGUCAACAUCAGUUUUGAUCGCUGGAUAAAGGCUGGAGGAACGUAGCACCCUCGGGUGAACUUAUAGCCUCCUGUCACAUACAGUGGUUGGGACUGAGGAACGCAGCACGCCUUUAUGGCCGGGAUUCGUCCACGUACGUGCUUAGGAUGUUGACAUAAUGGCUUUAAACGACCCGUCUUG
rnacentral:rRNA from 1 species